CGGGUGAGUAACACGUGGAUAACCUACCUAUAAGACUGGGAUAACUUCGGGAAACCGGAGCUAAUACCGGAUAAUAUUUUGAACCGCAUGGUUCAAAAGUGAAAGACGGUCUUGCUGUCACUUAUAGAUGGAUCCGCGCUGCAUUAGCUAGUUGGUAGGGUAACGGCUUACCAAGGCAACGAUGCAUAGCCGACCUGAGAGGGUGAUCGGCCACACUGGAACUGAGACACGGUCCAG
rnacentral:rRNA from 1 species